UACGUAGGGCGCAAGCGUUGUCCGGAAUUAUUGGGCGUAAAGAGCUCGUAGGCGGCUUGUCGCGUCGACUGUGAAAUCCCGCGGCUCAACCGCGGGUCUGCAGUCGAUACGGGCAGGCUAGAGUUCGGUAGGGGAGACUGGAAUUCCUGGUGUAGCGGUGAAAUGCGCAGAUAUCAGGAGGAACACCGGUGGCGAAGGCGGGUCUCUGGGCAAUUCCUGACGCUGAGGCGCGAAAGCGUGGGGAGCAAACGGG
rnacentral:rRNA from 1 species